AAAUAGUCGCCAACCAGCUUUGUGAUAUUAGUAAAAUCAAUACAUUACUUAAACCUAUCUUUGUAGCAGUACUUGUAGACCAUGUCAAUACGAGCCAUGUACAUGAAAAUGAUCCAACAAAAUCGCACGUGUAAUGUCAUCAUCAUUCCAAAAAUCUUCAGAAUUUUAUGUCUUCCCUAUAUGUAUCUCCAUCAUCAUGAUGAGGG
rnacentral:lncRNA from 1 species